CACGUAGGGCGCAAGCGUUGUCCGGAAUUAUUGGGCGUAAAGAGCUCGUAGGCGGUCUGUUGCGUCCGCUGUGAAAACCCGGGGCUUAACCCUGGGCUGGCAGUGGAUACGGACAGACUAGAGGUAGGUAGGGGAGAAUGGAAUUCCCGGUGUAGCGGUGAAAUGCGCAGAUAUCGGGAGGAACACCGGUGGCGAAGGCGGUUCUCUGGGACGGUACUGACGCUGAGGAACGAAAGCCAGGGGAGCGAACGGG
rnacentral:rRNA from 1 species